ACAUGAGUCUCCACCAUCAUGCGAUUCCUUGAGCCUUCAUGCCCGUUAAGACAGAACAUAUCGAGCUGUCUGGUGUCAUAGGGCUAAAGGUACAAGUCCACAAAGGUCAACUGGCCUCUUCAUGGUAGUAUCCAUCAUCAUCAACAGCAACGACAGCAACAAAUUUGGGGCAACUGGAGAGUUUGAGACAACAUCUUAUAAUAAUGCUGCAGCCAGAGGCAAAGUAAGGCAACGAAGGUUCGUGAUCUGCUUCUCGAAGCAUCGAGCUGCUGACUGGAGGCGCGAUCGAUUCUCGUUAAGCUUUGCCGCGCCAAGGAAAAUAAAAAAACAAGUCAAAGACCCAAUAAGAUGGCAAAACACCUCCGCGGUUCUCGGUCUGUAAGACUUGCAUCGAUUCCAAGGCGCUGUUUCCAUGGUCACUUCUUGCUACAGAUCACCCACAUUUCCAACCUUUGCUCAAUGAAUUAGUCCACCGAUGUAACCAUAAUUUAUUACAAACAGGGAAGCAAGCGUUAAAGUGAACGGUUUGAAAAAGAAAGUAUUGUCUGGAAAACUUGCGUGAAGACAGAAUGUGUACAAAGGUUCAGAACACUAAGGUCGACCCACGUCUACAAAACAGUCAAGAACAGUCAAUGGUGUGUGGGGUCAGCUACUCAGGCGAAGCUGUCAGACAUUCUUGACAACACAAAGCUGGUCUCAAGCCAAAUUCCACGAGCAUGUCAGUGCCAUGAGCACCGUGAAAAGGGCGGGUAGCAGGGAGUGGAAGGAUCCUUGUGCUUCACCUGAUUACUUGCCCCUGCUUUACCAAUGGCAACGGGUUUUGUUUACUGGGGUAGCCGAUAGGUGGGCUUGUCGCCAGCCAGGUCAGCCCUGGUAAAGAAAACUUGGAGAUUCAAGCAGCUAGAAGCAUAGAGAAGCUUAGAGACGACCGAUUUGCUCCUUUAUACUGACAUUCAGACUGAUCGAGCACUUUUUAAAUGACUUUGAUAUACCUGAGGUCUACUACUCAACGACACAACUAUAUCCCCUCCCAGUCCCUCAUCUCUCUGUGUGUGUGGAGAGACUUGACUUUAAAUUUGAGUGAAAUAUAGAGAGCAAGCUAGCACAUGUGUGUAUGUAAGUGUGUUGUUGGUGGUCAUAUCCUAUCCUAGAACUGUUCCCACAUUAGUCAAAAAAGAUUAUCUAAGUACCACACUGAACAGUCACCAACCUUCAAAUCAGGCUGAAUGCUGUUCUUUCAAGUCCAGUUUAUUAGAGUGACUCUUCAAAGAAAGAUGAAUAAAUAAACUUGAUAAAGUCUCUCCCUCUCUCUUCUAAUCUUACCACCCAAGUCUGCUACAGUCUUGCACUGAAGUAUAAUAUGUAGUAUUAUAGACUCUUUCCUCUUCACUACCAACCAUUGCAAAUGAUUGAUUGGCUCCUUGAAUCAAGUACACAGCUUCCAACGCCCUCGUGUGUCCGGUUUCUCUGUACUGUCAAACAGUGUGUUUUACAACCCUAGGCUUGAUCUACCCAAGUUCUCCGUUAAGCCCAUAUCUCUGCACCUGAAGUGUCUGGGAGUUUAUUUUCACAUUUUUUUCUCAUCCCUUUUGAUAACAUGGCAGUUGAUUAUUACAUUCAAAAAGUAAUAUAAGCGAGACAUAGCCUCUUCAAUUUCUGCAUUUUUAUAUUUCUCUCUCUAAGCUACCUUCAAUAUUCAGUAAAGCCCUGCAGUGCCCACUCAGCUUGCUGAGACAUGCCAUGACAAAUGAACCUUUAAUGGUGAGUGUAUUUUGCCCCCUAUCAUUUAGUUUCUACCACUUCGUGCAGCGAGUAAGACUUCAGCUACCAGCUUUUGCUAUUUUAACAGAAAUUCUCAUC